rnacentral:lncRNA from 1 species
UCCUUCAUAACCUUAUAAAAACAAGACAUUUUAGCACUCCUAUAUAUUGUUCAAGAUACAAAGUCGAAGUAAGAUGAGAAGUUUACUGAUUGUUUUAACCAACAACGGUGUUGUUGGUAGAGGACAGACUCUUUGUUCCAAUGUUCAGGUUUUGAUCCUAGCAAUGCCACGUAUCAAAAGAGAGAGAGACAGAGAUGAAAAGUUUACUGAUUGUUUUAGCCAACAACAGUGUAGUUGGUAGAGGACAGACUCUUUGUUCCAAUGUUCAGGUUUUGAUCCUAGCAAUGCCACGUAUCAAAAGAGAGAGAGACAGAGACACAGCCUGAGAGACAAACGUUCUUUUUUGAAGUUGUGACUAUGUAAGGAGCUUUUUCUUUUAUAUUGCUUAUAAAACUAAACAUCAAGUAGCCUACCGGGACAUAUAGAGCUCUUUUGGACUUAUACAUCAACGAUUUUGAUUCCAUCUAAGGCCUUAAAGAGUUCAAAAUUAAUUGGCUCUACUCAUAAAGGACUCAAAAGCAUCCUGGCUGACAUGCUUUAGCUGUGAUAAUUACAACGCAACAGUUUAACUCUUAGAUCAGCCUCAAUAAGCAAAAUAAAAAAGUUCAAGCAUCAGAUAGUUGAACCAAGCUUGGCAUUUUCUUUUGUGAGUUUAACCAAUAUUAUCAGUACCUAGAUCAACAUAAUUUGUGCCCAAAGUUUUCCAUUCUUUUAUCUAUAAAUAAAUUUUCUGUUAAAAUGUUUAACCGGUCUAUGAAGUGAUUAUAAACUGUUUACAGGUCUAUUUCAGUCGGUGCUGUGUCCAAAGGAAAUGAAAUUCAAGUUGGUCUUAGCUUCAAAAUACUAAAUAAAUUCUAAUCAUAACAGAACAGAGAAAUUAAACAUGCAGUUAUAUGUUAAUAUAGCAAACUAUUUUGCAAUACCAAAAAGGUAAUAGCCAAAAGGAUAUGCAGUAAUAGGUUUUACAUAGGUCAUAAAUGUAGAUGAACAAGCAAGUUUUUACAGAAUCUUA